GUUCAGGCCGUCCCAGUUUUCCCUCGCAUAGCCACCGCCGUCACCGCCGCAUAUCCCGCUGGUAGACGGGUACCUCGUUGCGCUGUUUGGAUCAUCCCUACGCGGCGACCCCGAUCCAGGCGACAAGCGGCAGUCCGCGACCUUGUUGUCGCUCCUACCGCCAAGGUUCCGGUCGGUCGGCAGUACUGCAGGCCCUACGUCGCGGCGGAUCCAAUCCGCGUGCCGUCCGACUCUGUACGCCGUCAUCGGGAACUUCGUCGGCAAGGCGUGGAACGGCUCCGGCCUCUUCCCUAACCCCUGCGGCCAGACUGCCAUCCAGGUGUUGUUCUGGAGUUAGAUACAAAAUACUCGACUUCUGGCCUUGCAUGGGACUUGUUUCAACGGCGGCAUUUUGAGGUCAUGUACAUAUGAAGAUUGGAAACACUGUUGGUGAGGUGGAACUGAUCUGAAUGGGAUGUGUUUGGGAUCAUACCAGGUUUCCCUGCUGCUAUCUGCCUAUGGCGAAUGCCUAAUCUUAUGGUUAUAUGAGCAACAAUGCUUUGAUGAAC